rnacentral:lncRNA from 1 species
ACUCAUUGCACCCAAGCGAACAGGAAACUGUCAGGCAAAAAGAGUUCUGUGCUUCUCCCACCUCAGGCUAUAUCUACACCAGUUUCCUGGAGGUGAAAGAUUCAGUAUAUCCCAUUACUGAUAAUUUCACCCACCUCGUUUUCCUGAACUGAACUCAUUCCAAACUGCAGUUUGAAAUAACCUCAAUGUCAUCUCAAAAAAAGGCCAUUCACUCUCAUUUGCAUAAUACUGAUCUUAGUUCUGCCCUGGAACCCCUCUCCCACCAACAGAUGGCCUGCACUGGUUUCUCUGAUUACCCCCUCAUUUUUCAUCAUAAAGAAG